CGGUCUGACGUCCGGCGGUGCUGCUGGUACCUGGGCAGCAGCGGGCAGGGCCUUGGAACUCGUCCCAUGGUCGUUUUUCCCUUGGUUUCCAGUACUUGAUGGCCACAGUGGGAGUUGUGGCUGGAAAGGGGCCGCGUGGCGUUUUCUUCCCACCUUGCCCCUCCGCCGUGCUCCGUUAAAGUGUCUCCGCACCCUCGGUCACCCCCUGUACCGCGCCCCCCUUCCUCAAAUGAGGCCGCUUCCGGGGCUCCAGGUUUCCCCAGAAGUUUUUUAUUGCACUAGGUCAUUCCUGUAGCAUACAUGCUCUAAGAGGAGAUGUCACUACUGACCCAGUGGAUAUUGAAAGAGAUACAGCUAUAUACUCAUAAACUCAAAAGCUCAGAUGAACUAGACCACUAUCAAAGCUAUCAAAAUGUACCCAAGAAGGAACAGAUAAGCUGAAUAGUACUGUGACUGUGUGUUUUCUUCUUCAUCAUGAUCUUAAGGAACCCAUAUCGACUCGAGUAGGGAAGAAGGUAUGUUGAUUACCUUGUUAAGGUUUUUCUGUUUAUAAAUUAGAUAAUUUAGAAAAAAUUCAUUAAAACUCCUCCAUAAUUUCUGUUUAUUAACAAAGUUCAUUGAGAAUACUCACUAUGUACCAGGCAUAAUGGUAACCAUGGUAUAGUCCCUUCAGCUGAGCAACUUUUAAAAAAAUUUUUUAAUUUUUAAAAUUAACAUAUAAUGUAUUAUUAGCCCCAGGGGUACAGGUCUGUGA